AGGGCACCACCAGGAGUGGAGCCUGCGGCUUAAUUUGACUCAACACGGGGAAACUUACCCGGCCUGGACACUGGAAGGAUUGACAGAUUGAGAGCUCUUUCUUGAUUCAGUGGGUGGUGGUGCAUGGCCGUUCUUAGUUGGUGGAGCGAUUUGUCUGGUUAAUUCCGAUAACGAACGAGACUCUAGCCUAUUAAAUAGGCUCCCGGCUUUUAAACGCCGGGAGGACUUCUUAGAGGGACAGGUGGCGGUUCAGCCGCACGAAAGAGAGCAAUAACAGGUCUGUGAUGCCCUUUGUUGUCCGGGGCCGCACGCGCGCUACACUGAAGAGAUCAGCGUACUUUAUGUUCCUGCUCCGACCGGAGUGGGGAACCCAGUGAACCUUCUUCGUGAUUGGGAUAGAAGAUUGUAAUUAUUCUUCUUGAACGAGGAAUUCCCAGUAAAUGCGAGUCAUAAGCUCGCGUUGAUUACGUCCCUGCCCUUUGUACACACCGCCCGUCGCUACUACCGAUUGAACGAUUU
rnacentral:rRNA from 1 species